GGUGAUCAGGCUGGUUGGCUAAUUUAGAUGAUGCUAUGUGUGGGGCUAUAUCAACCUUCCAUCCUAUGUUCUGGCAUGAGAAGAACAUAUAUGCCUUCUGAUCUGGUGUUUCAUAUUUUAAUUCUAUUUGAAUGUUCAUUCAGCAUGGGAAAGUGGUGCAUUUUCUGCCUGCUUUCACAAGCUUCAGCUCUGCAACAUUUGUAGAUGCCUUUUAUACUGUCACACUUUACAUUGAAUUUUUUUCAAAUCAAAACAAGUGUGAAAUACUUCAGUGGUAGUAACUUAUCAUUUAGGAAUAUUACUACAUGACUACUAUCAUCAAUGUCGUACUUUUUCUUGUUCACUUUUUUUUUUGCGCGAUAACUGUAGCACCAUAUAUUUGUAGCAACUAGGAAUGAGUUUGGCAACAUGUGUUAUCGUUGUGUGCUUCACAGAAUAGUACUGCAGUUUUUAUACAGUCUACUUAUAAAAUUGGGGCUUCCAGUUACCUCUUUGGAUAAAGAAAGAAGUGAAUUUGGCAGUUUGACAUACCAAUUGGUCACUGACCAGUAAUUUUUAACCUCUGUUUCUUUUUGUUAUGUAGUGAAAUUACGUUACUCCCCUUGUUUUUUCCACAGGUGAACAUAGAAGCCCAGACUUCUACUGUUUUGAUGUUAGAAUUCCCAGAUGUCACGAAAAAUUUACAUGGAUGCUCUUGCCAGGAAGUGCUUCUGAUGUGUUCCUCAACUUUCUAGUUUGGCUCCCUGAAGACCUCAAACCUUGAAAAUUUGUGCGAGAAAUCUUUCCUUUUGAAAAUAAGCUUCUACAGGUCCUAUGCCAGAAGGGGCUAGUCUUUCGGUGGACGUAGACCUUAAUACUUGUGAGUUGCGACUCAACGUUUUCAAUGUUACCGAACAUGAAAUUUUAGUGUUUUGUUUCAACUGUAGAAGGACUGGGGUUUGGAGGGCCACCUAGCCCUAAAAGUUGGAAUGGUACCUGAGUAGUCCAAUGCAACCUUUGUUUUUCAA